rnacentral:lncRNA from 1 species
AUGAGCAGUUAGGACCUUGGUUUUAAAUCUUCUCUGAAAUCCAGGGUGCCACCAUUCCCUCCGGCUAUUCUCCGAUAUUGGUUGGGAGUUGACUCCUAAGGAAGGACAGAGACUACAUAAAGGAUAGCAUCCCAAAGAUCAGUGAUUGCCCAGUCCUCCCUCCCUUCAACACAGAUUUCAUCUUUAGUCUGUCCCAUGGAUAACGGCUGCAGCUGCUUCCUGCAGAGCCUGUUACAAGAUCGAUAAAAGGCUGAGAUAUUAUGAUUUCAAAAGCAGGAGACGGGAUCAUAAAGGAGCCACUGCACAGUGCCAAGGUGCACAGGUCAAGAAGACCAAGUAAUCUGGGUGGGAUUGAUGAGAAUCUACACCAAGAUAGAGGAAUUGUUUUGAGGUUCGAGGAAGUGGCUAUUUGAUGUCAGAUGCAGGAUUUCCCCAUGCCAGAUUCAGAUAAAGUGCCUCAAUUUGGCUGCCAUUUUGACUCUUCUAUCCCUGGAAGUUAAGGUAAAAUCAGAACAGGGAAUGAUAUUUCCCUUCUGCUUCAAAAUCUUAUCCUUUU